rnacentral:rRNA from 1 species
GCAUAUCAAUAAGCGGAGGAAAAGAAAAUAACAAUGAUUCCCUUAGUAACGGCGAGUGAAGGGGGAAAAGCUCAAAUUUUAAAUCUGCUAGGUUUUACUUAUCAGAAUUGUAAUUUGAAGAAGCGUUUUCCGCGUCUCGGUUGGCCCAAAUCCUUUGGGAUGAGGUAUCAUGGAGGGUGAGAAUCCCGUUCGGUUGACCUCAUGACGCUCUACGAUACGCUUUCUAAGAGUCGAGUUGUUUGGGAUUGCAGCUCAAAAUGGGAGGUAAAUUUCUCCUAAGGCUAAAUAUCGGCGAGAGACCGAUAGCGAACAAGUACCGUGAGGGAAAGAUGAAAAGAACUUUGAAAAGAGAGUAAAAUAGUACGUGAAAUUGUUGAAAGGGAAACGAUUGAAGUCAGUCGUACCGACGAGAAAUCAACUUAUCGUGUGCGAACUUGUGGGCGUGCGUGAGUUUCGGCCUCGCUGUUUGCUUGUUUGUGCGCUUUCGGUGUACUUUUUCGUAUGGUAGGCCAACGUCAGUUUCGAUCAUCAUAAAAUGACCGGCGGAAUGUAGCUUCGACCUCGGUUGAAGUGUUAUAGCCUCUGGUAGAUGUGGUGAUUGGGACUGAGGAUUGCAACGAAUACCCUUUGGGCUAUCCGUCUGAUCUCUGAAAGUUGCUUCGGUGCCGAAAGCUUGCUUACGGUCAUCUAAGUUGACGGUCAAUAGGUUAGAACGUGAUUACAUUCGUUAAGGACGUUGACGUAAUGGCUUUAAACGAC